GAUGAAGAACUUAGCGAAAUGCGAUAAGUAAUGUGAAUUGCAGAAUUCAGUGAAUCAUCGAAUCUUUGAACGCACCUUGCACCCUUUGGCAUUCCGAAGGGUAUGCUCGUUUGAGUGUCAUUGUACUCUCACACUCCCACUCUUUUGGAUUGGGAGCGGUGGACUUGGGUGUUGCUGCUUCACUGUGGCUCGCCUCAAAUGGAGUAGUGCAACUCUCGGUUGGACAUAGUACGGCGUGAUAAGUGUCUUCGCCGGCGCCUCACUAGAGGGUGGCCGAUCGGGAGCUCUGUGCUUCAAACCGUCUUCGGACAAUCUCUGACAACUUGACCUCAAAUCGAGUAGGACUACCCGCUGAACUUAAGCAUAUCAAUAAGCGGAGGA
rnacentral:misc_RNA from 1 species